rnacentral:pre_miRNA from 1 species
AUGCAGAUCACUCAGGGAGCGUGUUAAAAAUGCAGAUUCCAAUUCAUUAGGUCUGGGUUAGGGCCUAAGAUUCUGUAUUUCUAACAAGAUCCCAAGUGAUGCCCAU